UGCCAGCAGCCGCGGUAAUACGGAGGGUGCAAGCGUUAAUCGGAAUUACUGGGCGUAAAGCGAGUGUAGGCGGCUGUGUAAGUCGGAUGUGAAAGCCCCGGGCUCAACCUGGGAAUUGCAUUCGAAACUGUAUAGCUAGAGUUUGGUAGAGGUAAGUGGAAUUCAAGGUGUAGCGGUGAAAUGCGUAGAUAUCUUGAGGAACAUCAGUGGCGAAGGCGGCUUACUGGACCAAAACUGACGCUGAGGCUCGAAAGCGUGGGGAGCAAACAGGAUUAGAUA
rnacentral:rRNA from 1 species